rnacentral:rRNA from 1 species
GGCUCUUUGAUAAUAAAUAAUAAAGAGUCGGACCUGCCCGGUGAAAUUUUUAACGGCCGCGGUACUCUGACCGUGCAAAGGUAGCGUAAUCAUUUGCCUUAUAAUUGAAGGCUGGUAUGAAUGGUUUAACGAGGGCAACACUGUCUCUUUUUCAUUUAAUAUAAAUUAACCUAUAGGUGAAGAGGCCUACAUAAAAUUGAAGGACAAGAAGACCCUAUCGAUCUUAAAAAGGAAAAUAGAAAUAUAUAUUUUAUAAAAUAAAACGCUAUUAGUCUUUUUUGGUUGGGGCGACCGGGGAACAAAAAAAGCUUCUCUUAUAAACGAGACUAACAUGUUAAGAUCCAGUAGAUCUGAUUGAAGGAAUUAGUUACCGUAGGGAUAACAGCAUAAUCUUUCCUGAGAGAUCUUAUCGAAGGAAGGGGUUGUGACCUCGAUGUUGGACUAGAAUAUCCUAAAGAUGCAGAAGUCUUUGAGGGUUGGUCUGUUCGACCAUUAAAAUUCU